rnacentral:rRNA from 1 species
CUGCGAUGAUUUAGUCUGGCUGUGUAGAUAACUACGUGAAAAUGUAGCUAAGGGAAGGCAGAAUAAGACGCAGGACUAUCAGUUAGUUGGUAGUGUAAUGGACUACCAAGACAGUGACGGUUGACGGGAAAUUAGGGUUUUGUACCGGAGAGGGAGCCUGAGAGAUUGCUCCCACGUCCAAGGACGGCAGCAGGCGCGAAAAUUGCCCACUCUUUGCAGGAGGCAGUUAUGAGACGUGAAGAUGAGUAUCUUGUAAAGAGGGAUAGGAGAAUUGGAGGGCAAGUUUGGUGCCAGCAGCCGCGGUAAUACCGACUCCAAGAGUGUGUAUGAGAGAUGCUGCAGUUAAAAAGUCCGUAGUCAUAGAAGGGCAAAGAGAGAUGCGAGGUCUCACAGUGCGAUGAUGGAGGAGCCGAUGGGGAACAUAGUAUACCAGGGCGAGAGAUGAAAUGCCAAGACCCCUGGUGGACUGAGCGAGGCGAAGGCGAUGUUCUUGUAGGCAUUCGGUGAUCAAGGACGAAGGCUGGAGUAUCGAAAGUGAUUAGAUACCGCAGUAGUUCCAGCAGUAAAAGAUGCCGACAUGCUCAUUGGACACAGUGGGCAGGGAGAAAUCUUAGAGUUCGGGCUCUGGGGAUAGUAUGCUCGCAAGGGUGAAAAUUAAAGAAAUUGACGGAGCUACACCACAAGGAGUGGAUUGUGCGGCUUAAUUUGACUCAACGCGAGGAAACUUACCAGGGCCAAGUAUUGUGUAGAAACGAGCAAUACAGGAGUGGUGCAUGGUCGUUGGAAAUUGAU